rnacentral:misc_RNA from 1 species
GCUAGAUGAUCCAGAGAAAGGGACCAUUAUUGAGAAAGUUACGGAGGAAACACUAAAGGACUGGAGUCAUCUGAAGGAGCUCCUUUCCAUUUGUGAAGGUAAAGGUUAUACAAAACCUGCCAUUAUUGGAUGAUGUUGUGUGUGUGAUUAUUUUUAUUGCAUUCUUGCAGGUCAAAGACAGAUUGGGGAGACCUCCCUGAAUGAGAAGAGCUCCAGAUCUCAUCAAAUUCUUAGAUUGACAAUUGAAAGUUCUGCUCGUGAAUUCAUAGGCAAAGAAAAUUCUACAACUCUUUCAGCAACUGUGAAUUUUGUUGAUUUGGCAGGAAGUGAGCGUGCAUCUCAGGCAUUACCCACUGGGGCAAGAUUGAAAGAAGGAUGCCACAUAAACCGAAGUUUGUUGACUCUGGGAACUGUUAUUCGCAAGCUAAGCAAGGGGAGACAUGGGCACAUCAAUUAUAGAGAUUCUAAGCUGACACGGUUACUGCAGCCUGCUUUGGGUGGCAAUGCUAGAACAGCCAUUAUCUGCACACUAAGCCCUGCACGUAGUCAUGUUGAACAAACUAGAAACACUCUUUUGUUUGCUUGUUGUGCGAAAGAAGUUACUACCAAAGCACAGGUCAAUGUAGUCAUGUCAGAUAAGGCACUGGUUAAGCAUUUGCAAAGAGAGUUGGCUAGAUUGGAGAGUGAGUUGAAAAGUCCUGCCCCUGCUUCAUCAACCAGUGAUUAUGCAGCAUUGCUUAGAAAGAAAGAUACUCAAAUACAAAAGAUGGAUAAACAGAUUCGAGAGUUGACAAAGCAACGGGAUCUUGCUGAAUCCCGGGUUGAGGAUUUGCUGCGAAUGAUUGGACAGAAUCAAACUUCAAGAAAUGGGGCUGUGGUUGGUCCUCAUCCUAAUCAGCAAGCAGGGCAUACAUGGGAAGAUGAAUAUGGAGACAGUGGGAGCAACAUGGAGGAGUCCUACUAUCUUCAGGAUAAUAAUGAUGACCAUUCUGUGUCUGAUGGUACUUCUUCACUGAUGUCAAUUGGAAAGAAGUUUGUUAGAUCCAGUUCCUGUCAGAGUCUGGAGGAUACCGCUGUUGGACCUGCAGAAAAUACUGAUGACUACUGCAAGGAAGUUCAAUGUAUUGAAAUGGAUGAGACAAGAAGAGAGAGCAGUUUUGAACCCCAUUCUAUAUCAAAUGGUGAAAAUGAAGGGACAUUAGCUUUGACAAUGUUUGGGGAUGAUGCAGCAGCAGGGCAACAAAUAUCAACUCCAGCAAAUGGACAUAGAGAAGUGAGUCGCAUACAAAAUGGUUUCACAUAUGACAUGUUGGAGCAGAGGCUGCAUCAUGUGCAAAGGACCGUAGAUGAUCUUGUCAGUCCUGACCCUGAUGAAACAUCUCCACAAUCCUUGGCAGCUGAUAUUUCAAGUUCCAGGAACAUGCAGUUAACAAGGAGCUGGAGCUGUAGAGAGAAUCUCAUGACUGACUCUUCUCCCUAUCUUGGGAAGGCAGAACAAAUUGAGAGCACCCCACCAAAUGGUUUUGAGAAAAGCUUUUCUGGGAGGCCGGAAGGUGUCCGAAGGAAGUUUCCUCCACUAAAUUAUGGUGCUGACCCUGCAAGGUUAUCAAGAAAUGAUUCUGAGUCUUCUCUUGGUAGUGCCUAUCCAGAUGAUUUAAGAUCACAGAGCAUCAAAACUUCUGCAGAUGGGGAUAUACCUAGCAUCCAAACUUUUGUUGAAGGACUGCAAGAGAUGGCCAAGCAGGAGUAUGAGAAGCAACUAGUUGAUGGUCAGGUUCGGGAGACAGACCAAAUGGAUCGCAAAUUUGAAAAGAAUGCGAAAGAUGUUGGAUUGGAUCCCAUGGGUGAAGCAUUAGAAACUUCUAGUGAUUGGCCAUUGGCAUUUGAGAGGCAGCGGGGAGAGAUAAUUGAACUUUGGCAAACUUGUAAUGUUUCCUUGGUUCAUAGAGCUUACUUUUUCCUACUCUUUAAAGGCGAUCCAACAGAUUCUGUAUACAUGGAAGUGGAGCUUAGGAGACUUUCGUUCCUUAAGGAAACACUUACUCAAGGGAAUCAUUCUGUGGGAGGUGGUUGGAGUCAGACAUUGACAUUGGCAACAAGCAUCAAAGCCCUUCAUAAGGAGAGAGGAAUGCUAAGCAAGCUGAUGCAAAAGAGGUUAUCAGAAGAAGAGAGAAAGAGAAUCUACCAGAAGUGGGGUAUAGGGUUGAACUCAAAACGUAGGAGGCUACAAUUGGCUAACAGCUUGUGGAGCAACACGAAGGAUAUUAACCACAUUAUGGAGAGUGCUGCCAUAGUUGGAAAGCUGGUAAGGUUUGUAGAACAGGGGCAAGCUCUGAAGGAGAUGUUCGGGCUUAGCUUCGCACCCCCAAGCACAAGGAGGAGGUCCUUGGGCUGGACAUACAGCAAAUCAACUCUUUUAUAGGUUUGUUCUGUGGCAAAUGUAUACCAACUAGAGCGGUGAUUUGUUGAAAUAGGCUAGGCCAUAUAGCAUUCUUUACACGUCAUUGUUUAAGAGUUGUAAAAAUUUUAGCUUGUAUCAUGUUCAAAGUUGAACUCGGUUUUGCCCAUUUUGUUCAUGUAUGUUGCUCCUGGUUUUUUCUGUUCCUA